GACGUAGGGCGCGAGCGUUGUCCGGAUUUAUUGGGCGUAAAGAGCUCGUAGGCGGUCUGUCGCGUCUGCUGUGAAAACUCAGGGCUUAACCCUGAGCUUGCAGUGGGUACGGGCAGACUAGAGUGCGGUAGGGGAGACUGGAAUUCCUGGUGUAGCGGUGAAAUGCGCAGAUAUCAGGAGGAACACCGGUGGCGAAGGCGGGUCUCUGGGCCGUAACUGACGCUGAGGAGCGGAAGCAUGGGGAGCGAACAGG
rnacentral:rRNA from 1 species